CCAGCAGCUGCGGUAAUUCCAGCUCCAAUAGCGUAUAUUAAAGUUGUCGCAGUUAAAAAGCUCGUAGUCGGACUUCUGGCCGUGUCGGACGGUCCGCCGCAAGGUGUGCACUGUUCGGGGCAGCCAUCCUCUUGAGGACCGCGUGUGCCCUUCACUGGGUGGGCGCGGGACUCAGGACCUUUACGUUGAAAAAAUUAGAGUGUUCAAAGCAGGCUUACGCUUGAAUACAUUAGCAUGGAAUAAUGGAAUAGGACUUUGGUACUAUUUUGUUGGUUUGUGCACCAGAGUAAUGAUUAAUAGGGACAGUUGGGGCUAUUCGUAUUCCAUUGUCAGAGGUGAAAUUCUUGGAUUUCUGGAAGACGAACGACUGCGAAAGCAUUUAGCAAGGAUGUUUUCAUU
rnacentral:rRNA from 1 species